rnacentral:rRNA from 3 species
AAAUUGAAGAGUUUGAUCAUGGCUCAGAUUGAACGCUGGCGGCAGGCCUAACACAUGCAAGUCGAACGGUAGCACAGAGAGCUUGCUCUCGGGUGACGAGUGGCGGACGGGUGAGUAAUGUCUGGGAAACUG